rnacentral:lncRNA from 1 species
UGAUUCCAAAAAUAUAUGUCGCUAUAACUCAAUUAGGAAUGGAGAUAUUAACUCUCAUCAGGAGAUGAACUAAAACAUUCCAAACAGGGACAGCCGUCGGGACUGGUACCAUUUGGUAAUGGCGGUUUAGGGGUUUUACGAACCUAAGCUACAGACAACGAAUGUCUAAAAGAAAUAUCUGUAUUUUGUUAUCUUAGUAAUUAUUUUCUACAUCUACUUUUGACUACAAAAUAAUUAGAAAAUUUUUAUUAAGUUUUACUAUACAAACAAUAAUAAUGAUAACAAUAUCUUCUACGUUUAUGACAUAUUGGAUAUUGAUCACCAUUUAAUCUGUUAGAAACAUAAGAUGGAUGGUAAAGGCAAAAGGAAGAUCUUCUUUGCUACAAAACACAAGUUCCAUAUUUAUCACAAAUAUCAAUACAGUAAAUAAGCUAGUCCACCAAUUACUGGAUAGCACAAUAAAUUCUAAGAUAAAACAGUAUGGACAUCUAAUAGAAGGAAUAUUAAAGUUAAAGCAAUCUGUAGUUCCAGUUGUUAAAGUAGAAAAAUCUAAAACUAAAAUAGAAAUAAAAUUAGCUUAAAUAAUUUAAUAUAAGCUAUAUUAAAAUAAUACCUCUUCUAGGAUGGUGUAAAGUCAUCUGUGAAUGAUUGGUCUUGGAAAAUAAUAUUUAUAUAAUUAUUACAAGUAGGUAUUUACAGCAGUGAGAUUUUUAUAUCUAUGGGUGAAUGAUUACAGAAAAAGUAUAGACCCAGCAUGUCUUGCUGAUAACAGCUAAACAGGAAUCACCAUGUACAGGUAUGUCUAGACAAGGGGUAAGCAACCUUUUUGCUAGGAGAGCAUAUUUCAGAAAUGCCGGAACUCAGAGGGCAACCAUGUCUGAAAUUAUUUUCUGAGGCCAAAAAAAAAAAAAAAAACAGUUUCAACUCAAUACAGUAUAUAUAUUACAUUUUUUAUUUUUUUUU